CCCCUAGAUGUUCUGGGCCGCACGCGCGCUACACUGAACAGUUCAACAAGUCUUAACCUUGGCCGAUAGGUCUGGGUAAUCUUUGAACGCUGUUCGUGAUUGGGAUAGACCUUUGCAAUUAUGGGUCUUCAACGAGGAAUUCCUAGUAAACGCAAGUCAUCAGCUUGCAUUGAUUACGUCCCUGCCCUUUGUACACACCGCCCGUCGCACCUAUCGAUUGAGUGAUCCGGUGAAUAAUUCGGACUGCAGCAGUGCAUGGUCCUCCGGGCUUUGCAGCGGAAAGUUUAGUGAACCUUAUCACUUAGAGGAAGGAGAANUCGUANCA
rnacentral:rRNA from 1 species